GGCACCAGAUUACCACACAAUAGACGUGUCUUACGGCGACAGAUUAGAAUCUCUUUAUAAGGACAUCCUUCAUCUGUUCCUCUUUGAGGGCGCAGGUUCGAAUCCUGCUGGCGUCG